GAUGAACGCUGGCGGCGUGCCUAAUACAUGCAAGUCGAGCGAACGGACGAGAAGCUUGCUUCUCUGAUGUUAGCGGCGGACGGGUGAGUAACACGUGGAUAACCUACCUAUAAGACUGGGAUAACUUCGGGAAACCGGAGCUAAUACCGGAUAAUAUUUUGAACCGCAUGGUUCAAAAGUGAAAGACGGCCUUGCUGUCACUUAUAGAUGGAUCCGCGCUGCAUUAGCUAGUUGGUAAGGUAACGGCUUACCAAGGCAACGAUGCAUAGCCGACCUGAGAGGGUGAUCGGCCACACUGGAACUGAGACACGGUCCAGACUCCUACGGGAGGCAGCAGUAGGGAAUCUUCCGCAAUGGGCGAAAGCCAGACGGAGCAACGCCGCGUGAGUGAUGAAGGUCUUCGGAUCGUAAAACUCUGUUAUUAGGGAAGAACAUAUGUGUAAGUAACUGUGCACAUCUUGACGGUACCUAAUCAGAAAGCCACGGCUAACUACGUG
rnacentral:rRNA from 1 species